UUGGAGGGUUUGAUCCUGGCUCAGGACUAGCGCUGGCGGUGUGUCUUAGACAUGCAAGUCGGGCGGGGCACAUUGCUGUAGCAAUACAGUGGUGUGUCUAGCGGCGAACGGGUGAGUAACACAAGGGCAACCAUCCCUUAGGAGGGGCAAAACCCGCCGAAAGGCGGGCUAAUUCCCCAUGUUCUGUGGCGGGGGAAUCUCUGCCACAGCAAAGGCGCCGCAAGGUGCCACCUUUGGACGGGCUCUUGUCCUAUCAGCUUGAUGGCGGGGUAAAGGCCCACCAUGGCAACGACGGGUAGCCGGCGUGAGAGCGUGACCGGCCACAGGGGAACUGCGACACGGUCCCCACUCCUACGGGAGGCAGCAGUCUAGAAAUUUGGGCAAUGGGCGAAAGCCUGACCCAGCGACACCGCGUGGAGGAUGAAGUUCUUCGGGACGUAAACUCCUGACAGGCGGAACGAUGCCGUUCGGUAGUAACUGACCGGACGGUGACGGUACUGCCAAAGGAAGCACCGGCUAACUACGUGCCAGCAGCCGCGGUAAUACGUAGGGUGCAAGCGCUGUCCGGAUUCACUGGGCGUAAAGGGUGUGCAGGCGGUCUGGCGGGUCCAUGGUGAAAGCUCACGGCUUAACCGGGAAACUGCUGUGGAAACUACCAGACUUGAGGGCGGAAGAGGAGACUGGAACUUCCGGUGUAGCGGUAAAAUGCGUAGAUAUCGGAAGGAACGCCGAUAGCGAAGGCAGGUCUCUGGUACGCACCUGACGCUGAGACACGAAAGCUAGGGGAGCAAACAGGAUUAGAUACCCUGGUAGUCCUAGCUGUAAACGAUGUUCAUUAGGCGUGGGGAGUUUUCCCCGUGCCGGAGCCAACGCGUUAAAUGAACCGCCUGGGGACUACGGCCGCAAGGUUGAAACUCAAAGGAAUUGACGGGGACCCGCACAAGCGGUGGAGGAUGUGGUUCAAUUCGAUGCUACGCGAAGAACCUUACCUGGGCUUGACAUC
rnacentral:rRNA from 1 species